rnacentral:rRNA from 1 species
UGAGGAAUAUUGCCCAAUGGACGCGAGUCUGAGGCAGCAACGCCGCGUGGGCGAUGAAGGCUUUCGGGUUGUAAAGCCCUUUUCUGGGGGAAGAGGAAGGACGGUACCUCAGGAAUAAGUCACGGCUAACUACGUGCCAGCAGCCGCGGUAAUACGUAGGUGGCAAGCGUUAUCCGGAUUCACUGGGCGUAAAGCGCGUGCAGGCGGUUUCGUAAGUCGGACGUGAAAGCUCCUGGCUUAACUGGGAGAGGUCGCUCGAUACUGCGGGGCUUGAGGUCGGGAGAGGGACGUGGAAUUCCCGGUGUAGUGGUGGAAUGCGUAGAUAUCGGGAGGAACACCAGUGGCGAAGGCGACGUCCUGGCCCGCACCUGACGCUGAGACGCGAAAGCGUGGGUAGCGAACGG